rnacentral:miRNA from 1 species
CCCAGUUAAAUUUAAUUUCGGAUAAACAACGAAUAAUUUUUAGUAUAAGCGUGUCCCAUGCAAUGUUUGGGACAUACUUGUACUAAAAAUUAUUUCUCACUUAUCUGGAAUUCAGGUUUAACUGGGUGUCC